ACUGCGCUGUGGGAAGCGUGGUCUGAAGCAUUGCCGAGGACCACGUGACAAGCUCCUGAGCACAGUCAUAUUUGAUUUCAACCUCCGGUUAGGCCUCGCUCAAUGUAAUAUCUUGGGAUAUUUCACCCUGAAUCGAGCCUCCCACACGUCUUCCAGCACCAAGUUCUCCUGGUGUAUCCUCAUCGGCUGCUGGCUUGGUAUCUACAGGAACGCGCACAACAUUAAAAAACAACACAGCAUGGCGAAAUAUGAGUUUAUGGGAGGAUGAAAAGGAAAACUUUCUGCAGCAAGCUCAUGCAGAGCUGGACAUCUCAGGGGAAGAUGGAGAAGUCAGCGCUUGCUAUGAAGGUGUGACGUCCUCCUCAUCUCCCCUGCCAUUACUGGAGCAACUCCCAGGCUACUUCCAUGAGGGAAACAACUUCCUUCAGGUUAUGACACAAGAGUGAAGUAUUCUGCCCAAAGUCUUCCUACACUCUCUGGAGAAGUCACCUUUGAGCAGGAAGAUGGCCACUUUCCUCAGCCAAGUCUAGCCCAAGUCACUGCAUGUCUGAAACAAGAAGAGAAAAAAGAGAACUGCAAUGCUCAUCUUUCAAGCAAUACUGAGAAAGGGAUCUUGGACCUACAGGCUUUUGUGAUUGAUACCAAUAUGGUUAAACAUGAUGAGGCAUAAAUUCAGGCUCCCUAUGAUGACACACAAGUAGGCUCCUUUGGUCCAACACCUCAUCUGGAAGACACAUAAAGCUCACUGCUGCUGUUGUCCUGCACAAAGAUUCAAAGGAUGGUAUCAGACCAAAAAACCAGCACAAAGAAAUUUCCUUCAUCUCCCAUGUCUGAUCCAACCAGGAGCAUCUGCUCAUACUGUCUGCCAGUCUGUUCUGCAGAACUAGUAAAAAUGUACAGCUGAAGAGACAGACUUAAUUUCAAAUGCAUUAAAUCAUAGCCAGACUGUUAUUUGGCAUAAUGAGAAAGAGCUUGCCCACUCCUUUUCUGUUUAUGCAUAAAAUGCUUUUGUAUUGCCUAUCAUUAUUUGGACUGACUGACCUUGGGGGUUUGCCUUUUUUUUUUUUUGCUUUCUGUUCCUUUUUAAUGUGCAUGCUUGAUAAAAAAAUACUGCACACUGUGGUGCAGGAGAAGACUUGGAUAGGAUGAGUUAUGUAGUUUGUUAAAAUAGUACAUCAUGGUUAUGUUGUCCACAAUGGGCUGAACUGCUGUUUUACCCUGCUCCUCUCCAGCAUAUGUAGAAAGAACUGACUAAUUGCUUUCAGGAAGGAACAAUUACAUGUAAUUCCCAUAAGAAUUUUAACAUGUACCCUGCACAGUAUUCCAGUGCUUGGAAGUAUUGAAUGACUGCUGUAGCACUGCAGCUGGAAGGCUGAGCAAGUCUUCCAGUACAUUAGCUUUCUGAGGAACAGGAGACAUCACCUCUGAAGGCCACCUUCUGCCUGAUAUCUAACACCAGCCAAUGCUACAAAAGUCCUUUUCCUGAGGUGAACACAACAUAUGCACAACAUAGUUGAAACCAAAAAGAUAAUAAAUGUUUAUGAGGACACUGACCUCUGCAUUCCUUAAUGUUUAAUGAUCUUUAUGAGUGGCUACGGUUUUUGGUAACCACUUGUGUGUCAGAAACAUUACACCUCAUCAAUUAAGAGGGUCCCCACAGAGAAGAUAACAUGUGUGAGCUGUCUACCUGUAUCUAUAUCAUACAGACAUAUAUACACAUGUACACUCCUAGUGUUACAGGUCCUCAGAGUAUUCACAGCCAAUGAAAUAGUCAUGCAGCAUCAAUUUGGGAUGACUUGUCUGUGUUUUCACUGAGACCACCUCUUCUCAAAUGGAAAAGUAUUUCGAGAAUUUUAAAGCACACCAGUCAAAGCAAAGGAAGGAAAGCUGUACCUUAAGUGUUUACCACAAAAUCAAGAUGGUUAUGAAUAACUCAGUGUACAUGAAAGAUGGAAAUGAGCACCAGUUGCCAAAGACAUGCAAGCUGACAUAGGGUGACAAAGAAGGAUCAGUGCAAAAGAAUGUCAUCACAAGGAGAUGUAACUUUCUGUCUUGAGUACCGAGGUUUCUUCUUUCCCUUACUUUGCAUGUGUGUAGUGGGAGAUCAGGCAAGCCUGACUGUGAAAAGAGUUUCUAAACUAUAUUGUAUUACCUGCAGAAUCUAUUGGUUAGAAUGUAGUCUGGUUUGAGUUUAUAAUCCCUGGAGGCAUGCGUUUAAAUUCAAACCAAUGUUUUUUCCCUUGGGCUUAAAGUUUUCUGUUGCUAGAUGUGAAAGGAGAAAGUUUUGACAACUGAAAUUUAAAUCUUUGAGAAAAGAAUAAAAAGACAGCAAAUAAAUGUCUCUGAAUAUAACACCACAGGGGUCCUCCUCAAAGACCGGAAGAUACCCAAAUAACAGUUCUAGACCUGUCCUUUUAUGAUGUUUUGUCUGUUUUCUUGCUGAAAAAGGUAUCCCUCUCUAAAAAGGAAAAUUCACCAUCUUUAACUCAGUUUUAGGAAACAAAAUGGACUACGUUAAUUGAGAAGCACUAAAAGUAACCAUCUCACCUGAUGAACUUGAAAGACAAAAAGUGUCCUGACAGCACAUUUUUGAACCGCUUAACCUUCAAUUAGCCAAUCUUCUUUGAUCCUCUGGAAUUACUUUGUUGAAAUAUAUCCUCUUCCACGAGCAAUAUAAAUAAUGUCACAUCACAGUCUAUUUGCUAAUCUUUUUCCAAUGGCAAUAAAGGACAAAAACACCCCUC